rnacentral:snoRNA from 1 species
AAUCCGUGUUGUAGGCAUUGGUGGAGUAAACCUUUAUAUCAUUCCCAAGCCUCUGAAUAGCAUUCUGAGUCUAGUUGUUGGAAAGUAGUAAUCUUGUUCCUUAGUUU